rnacentral:rRNA from 1 species
AUUGAACGCUGGCGGCAGGCCUAACACAUGCAAGUCGAACGGUAACAGGAAGAAUCUUGCUUCUUUGCUGACGAGUGGCGGACGGGUGAGUAAUGUCUGGGAAACUGCCUGAUGGAGGGGGAUAACUACUGGAAACGGUAGCUAAUACCUCAUAACGUCGCAAGACCAAAGAGGGGGACCUUCGGGCCUCUUGCCAUCGGAUGUGCCCAGCUGGGAUUAGCUAGUAGGUGGGGUAACGGCUCACCUAGGCGACGAUCCCUAGCUGGUCUGAGAGGAUGACCAGCCACACUGGAACUGAGACACGGUCCAGACUCCUACGGGAGGCAGCAGUGGGGAAUAUUGCACAAUGGGCGCAAGCAUGAUGCAGCCAUGCCGCGUGUAUGAAGAAGGCCUUCGGGUUGUAAAGUACUUUCAGCGGGGAGGAAGGGAGUAAAGUUAAUACCUUUGCUAAUUGACGUUACCCGCAGAAGAAGCACCGGCUAACUCCGUG